CAUACAUGGUUACUCACCAACAAUUAAUUUUCUUCUCGCCUCUGCACUGCAAUUCUACGCAUCGCCUUUUUGGAGACAUUAACAAAAAAAAAAGGAAGAUCGACUGAAUUCUAUUUACUCGAUCAAAGUUUGUACUAAAAGACGGGAGGGAAAGGCAACUUGUACUUGAUCGUCUACCACCAGCAUCAUCGCCAUCAGCUUUCAGAGUCCUAAAGCGAUCCAAGGGAAGGUACCACCAGUUCGCGAUCCGAUGUUCUACUUUCCUUUUUUCGAUCUUACGACGACCCAAACCAAGUCAGCCUCGGAAAGGAUGAGGGUGAGGGGAGAAGUUCGGCCCAAGCCGAACUCCCCCCGACCUCCACGUUUUUCUUUUUAAGAACGGACGAGUAGGGGAAGAGGAAGUACUCCUCUACCUCCCCGUUUCUCUCUCUUUAAUCCCACAUAGAGAUCCACUCUCUUGAUCGCUGCCUCUCCCUGCGUUGGCGUUUUUGGAGAAGAAGAAGAAGAAGAAGGGAAAAGAGAGAGGAAUCCAAGUAAUCCAUAUAUCAUCUUUAAGAUGGGUGAUGCCGUGAAAACAAAGUCUAAUAACAAAAGAGAAGUCCCAGCAAGAGCUCACGAAGAGGUGCUAAGCGAGCCAUGCAAGCAAAUGAGUUCACCAUUUACGUGAGGUCGUGGACCUCGAAGAUAUUGGAGCUUCCGGCGAUGGGUUCUGAUAGCAUCAACCGUAUCAAGGAAAUGAUGUUCUCCAAGGAAAAAACACCGAAGGACCGACAAAUUCUCAUAUUUAAAGAGCAAGAGCUGGAAGACCACCAAACUUUGGAUCACUACGGUAUUAAGAACGACUCCUGGUUAGAUCAGCGCAUGAAGCGUUAUAUGCUAGAUAUUAUUCCCUAGAAAAAUGAAGCAUCAGUUUUCUUUUUUUUUCCGUGAAGUUUUUUUUUUCCUUUCUCUUUGGAGAGAAAGAAAAGUGCAAACUUACUGUUAACUAUUUAAGUGUUGCAUUGGAGCUCCGCAAAUUAAAAACAAUAGUAUCACAUCAUAUUUGCUUGAUUGUGAUUUA